rnacentral:rRNA from 1 species
UACGGGGGGGGGCAAGCGUUGUUCGGAAUUACUGGGCGUAAAGCGCACGUAGGCGGCUUUGUAAGUCAGAGGUGAAAGCCUGGAGCUCAACUCCAGAACUGCCUUUGAGACUGCAUCGCUUGAAUCCAGGAGAGGUGAGUGGAAUUCCGAGUGUAGAGGUGAAAUUCGUAGAUAUUCGGAAGAACACCAGUGGCGAAGGCGGCUCACUGGACUGGUAUUGACGCUGAGGUGCGAAAGCGUGGGGAGCAAACAGG